rnacentral:rRNA from 1 species
AUCUUGGACCAUGGGCGCAAUCCUGUCCCAGCCCUGCCGCGUGAGCGAAGAAGGCCCUCGGGUUGUAAAGCUCUUUCGGACGGACUGAAAUGGCGCAGGCUAAUACCCCUCUCGGUUGACGGUACCGUCAUUAGAACCACCGGCCAUCUACGUUCCACCCACCGCGGUAAUCCGCAGGGUGCGAGCGUUAAUAGGAAUUACUGGGCGUAAAGCGUGCGCAGGUGGUUGAUUAAGACAGGCGUGAAAGACCCGGGAUUAACCUGGGAACUGAGCUUGUGACUGGUCAGCUAGAGUACGGCAGAGGGGGGUGGAAUUCCACGUGUAGCAGUGAAAUGCGUAGAGAUGUGGAGGAACACCGAUGGCGAAGGCAGCCCCCUGGGCCGAUACUGACGCUCAUGCACGAAAGCGUGGGUAGCAAACAGG